AGAAAAUAAAUGAAAUUCCAGGCUUUCGAUGAAAUGUCAUGCUGAAAUGGAUGGUCCAAAAAUCUAUAUUUGGAUGACUGACUCCUGUUUGAGGCUGCAAUUCAGGUGCUAGCCCAGGGCUUGCAGUUUCAUCGGAAGCCUCAACUAGGGAAGGAUCACUAUGUAGUUGUUAGCAGGAUUCGGUCUCUGGAGGGCUUUUGGCUUGGCAGACUCUAUGUUCAAUACAAUCCUUUCCAGCAGAGACCACCCUGUGACUGUGAGGAAUUGUAGGACUUCUGAGACUUCCCUGGGAAGGAGCCAAAGAGACAGAAGAUGUUUCUUUGCCACAAUUUAUUUUAGAGGAUUUGAUACUUCUUCAAGAUUAGCAUGAUGUAAGAAUGCCAAAUCAAAAAAAAAAAAAUCAGAAAGCAAAAGAUGACUUUCCUUAUUCAAUCAACCUUUAUCCUUUGUCCUUGAAUUAAGAAUUAAAACAGAAAAUGGGCAGGCUCAGGAAACCUUGAGUGGUGUGUAUGUGUGUGUGCAUGUGUGUGUGUAUACAGCCAGAAGGAACUUUCUAGCAGACAGAAAAGACUGGAUGUACCUAAUGGUGAUGAGGAAACCCAUCAAAAUGUCUGGUACCAUCAAGUGAUGAUCAAGAUGACUGUGUAUCUGCAUCAGAAAGGCUAAUCUCCAUGUGAUUAACCAGGUAGAUGAACGUUGACUGAGAUUUAUUCAUCAAAACAACAAAAUCGCCAGGCAUGAUUUUUGAACUGUGUUUUAUCUAUUCCUAUCAUCAAAAAGCACCAAAUCACCCAUCCUAUUGGUCAGAACAAUCAUCCAAGUUAAUUCAAAUAUUUAUUCAGCACCUCCUAUGUGCAAGGCUUUGUAAUAACCAACCACUGUGAAUAAUGUAAAACUAAAUAAGACCUACUUGCUUCUAGUUGCUAAAAAUGUAUGAAUAUUCUACCAGAGGAGAACUUUAAAAUAUUAUUCCCAUGGUGGGAGUACCUUGCAUUACAUGGUAGAGACAGCCCUGGAGAGUUUCUGUGAAAACGGUCACAAACAGGAUGACAUUUUGAAUGUUCUAGAAAAGUCAUCACUUUUAACAAAAUCAUAAGCUGUCUUGUAUAAGGUAAUGAAAAGAGGGGGCAGAAGAAAGAAAGAGAAAAGAAGAAAAAAGUUUUGUGAGUUCUAGUAGUCUGUGACUUGCAAUUUUUGAAUUUUGUACUUAUUUAAAAGAGGGCACUCUUGCCAUGCAGUGAAAUACCAUUUUUUAAACAAACAGCAUAAUAUAUCCACACUUUUUAUAGAAAAUAUGUAAUAUAAACUUUGCCUUUUCACAAAUGGCAAAAAACAAACAAUCAAAAAUGCCCCCUUACAGUGUUUACCACAAAGACACCUCAUGAAAAGCAAAAAAGAUUCCUCUUUAUGGAAGAUAAUUUGUAGUGCAUGGUGUUGUAAAGAAAAUUUCCAAUACUUUGCCCAUUUAAAGAAAAUGUCUUUUGUUCAUUAUGUUGGACAGUGCUUUCAUCUGGUACGGUUAACAAGAUAAAGACAUCAGGAU
rnacentral:lncRNA from 10 species